rnacentral:tRNA from 1 species
GCACCCAUAGCACAACUGGAUAAUGCGCUGCCCUCCGAAGGCAGAGAUUGUGGGUUCGAAUCCCGCUGGGUGCGCCA